UUGUGCUCUGUUCCGUUAGGUACUUGGGACAUUGGCUGUACAGUCUGUACAGUUCGCGAAUUUUGUUUUGAUAUGCUUUAGCUUGAAGUUACAGGGUUAUUCUGACCUCGCUCUCCUAAACAUUAGGAAUACAAGUGAGAAAUUGAUAUAUUGAAAUGAAUGGACAUUAGAGUUAAAAGGUUAUGCAUAUUGGGUCCUUGCUUAAAACAUGGGAUAUUACGUAUGUGUUACAGCCAUGUGAUUAGCAAUGGAAACGGCAUCUUCCAUGGAUCUAUUGGAGCGGUAUGCAAAUUAGAGUGGAUCCAGUGUGCCUGGCAUGCUGGCCUUGAUGUAGGCCAUGAUCAGCCUCUCAAAGCACUUCAUGAUGACCGAGAUUGGGCCUCUGUAGGGGUGAGAGAUGAGUCCCAGCAGGGAGGAUCCUGUGUGAUGGAGCCAUAAAAACACUACAGAAGCCAUUGGACACAGACCAAGACAUGGCUGCAUUCAGGUUGAGAGUUAACCAAAUCAAGCAAUCUGUAUGCUAUGAAUUACAGUAUAUAACAUAUACUCGUAAGCAGACGCUGUCAUCCAAAGCAAUUUACAGCCUCGCCUUGAACCAGGGACCCUCUGCACACAUCAACAACUGACACCCACGAAGGAUCGUUACCCAUCACUCCAUAAAAGCCGCGGCCCUUGCAGAGCAAGGGGAACCACUACUUCAAGGUCUCAGAGCGAGUGACGUCACCAAUCGAAACGCUAUUAGCGCGUACCACCGCUAACUAAGCUAGUCAUUUCACAUCGGUCACAUGUGCAUGCAUUUUCCAUAUGGGUGGCUCCAAGCGGCAAUCGAACCCUCUUACCUUUGGCGUGGCAAUCACCAUGCUCAACCGGCUAAGCCACACAGGGCCACAGUGAAAAGGACAGUUUGAAUAUCAAUACAUACCACAAAUGCCUAUCUUAUUUGGUUGUUAUUCCCAAAACACGGCAGCGGUCAGGCAGUGAGAUGACCAAACACUGCAAAAUGGCGUUCUUUAACAGAGCAUUAAAAAUCCAACUACAUACACAGUGACUGUGUUAUUUGGUUGUUAUUUACACAACAUGGUGGAGUGUGUUAAAAAUGUAUGAAGAUUCUCCCCCCCCCCCCCCCCCCCCCCCCUACUGGUUUAAUAGCAUUCAGGCUCGCCAGGUUUCUCGCUGGUUUCUGCCUCUUGUCAUAGAGAGCUCACCAAAGGGCCCCACUGUUUUUGUUGUUGUUGUGGUGAGGUGCUCCUAGUUGUGUUUUUGAAAGUGUAAAUGUGGCUAAUGAAAAUUAAACUUUAUCUCCUCCCUCUUGGGGUAAAAAACAUCUUCCUUUCCAGUUGUGUGUGUGUGUGUGUGCGUGCGUGCGCGUGCGUGUGUGUGUGUGUGUUUUUCUGUGUGUGUGCGUGUGUGUCCCACAAGAAUAGUAAACACAUGAUUAUUGACCAACUGGGGACAUUAGUCUCCACGAGGUCAAAUGCUAGUACUAAUGCUAAAUGCUAUUCUAACUUUCACCCUUUUAGGGGGGGGGUAGUCACACUUCCCUGCUAAGAAGUAGGAAUGUCAUUAAGUAUGUUAAUACAUGUUAAUACCUGUUAAUACAUGUUAAUACCUGUUAAUACCUGUUAAUACCUGUUAAUACCUGCACAGCUCGACUCUACUGAAUACAUGCAUGCUUUGAAGAGGUUUGAGCAAUGGGCUCAGGGAAAAGAGUUGGAAAUAACUUUCAGGCUAAAUAAACUAACACUAAAAUGUUGAUAUACAGUACACGCAUGGGAGGUGGGACUGGGAACCGGAGGUGUUCAUGGAUUUGGACAGUACAACCUCCUAGUUAUCAUAACCAUGUAUGUAAAGUCUGGGCGGCAGGUAGCCUAGUGUU